GCAAGUCGACGAUGAUCCGGUGCUUGCACCGGGGAUUAGUGGCGAACGGGUGAGUAACACGUGAGUAACCUGCCCUUGACUCUGGGAUAAGCCUGGGAAACCGGGUCUAAUACCGGAUACGACCUGUCACCGCAUGGUGGUGGGUGGAAAGAUUUUUUGGUUUUGGAUGGACUCGCGGCCUAUCAGCUUGUUGGUGAGGUAAUGGCUCACCAAGGCGACGACGGGUAGCCGGCCUGAGAGGGUGACCGGCCACACUGGGACUGAGACACGGCCCAGACUCCUACGGGAGGCAGCAGUGGGGAAUAUUGCACAAUGGGCGAAAGCCUGAUGCAGCGACGCCGCGUGAGGGAUGACGGCCUUCGGGUUGUAAACCUCUUUCAGCAGGGAAGAAGCGAAAGUGACGGUACCUGCAGAAGAAGCGCCGGCUAACUACGUGCCAGCAGCCGCGGUAAUACGUAGGGCGCAAGCGUUGUCCGGAAUUAUUGGGCGUAAAGAGCUCGUAGGCGGUUUGUCGCGUCUGCUGUGAAAGCCCGGGGCUCAACCCCGGGUCUGCAGUGGGUACGGGCAGACUAGAGUGCAGUAGGGGAGACUGGAAUUCCUGGUGUAGCGGUGAAAUGCGCAGAUAUCAGGANGAACACCGAUGGCGAAGGCAGGUCUCUGGGCUGUAACUGACGCUGAGGAGCGAAAGCAUGGGGAGCGAACAGGAUUAGAUACCCUGGUAGUCCAUGCCGUAAACGUUGGGCACUAGGUGUGGGGGACAUUCCACGUUUUCCGCGCCGUAGCUAACGCAUUAAGUGCCCCGCCUGGGGNGUACGGSCGCAAGGCUAAACUCAAAGGAAUUGACGGGG
rnacentral:rRNA from 1 species